rnacentral:rRNA from 1 species
AAUCAACGCUGGCGGCGUGCCUCAGACAUGCAAGUCGAACGCGAAAGUCUCCUUCGGGGGACAAGUAGAGUGGCGCACGGGUGAGUAACACGUAGGUAAUCUACCUUCGGAUGGGGAAGUAACAACCGGAAACGGUUGCUAAUACCGCAUAAUGCAGCGGCACCUAAUGGUGACAGUUGUUAAAGCGGGGGAUCGAAAGACCUCGCGUCUGAAGAGGAGCCUGCGGCGGAUUAGCUAGNGGUUAAGGUAAUGGCUUACCAAGGCUACGAUCCGUAACCGGCCUGAGAGGGCGGUCGGUCACACUGACACUGACAUACGGGUCAGACUCCUAC